UCGGGAAUUUUGGGCAAUGGGCGAAAGCCUGACCCAGCAACGCCGCGUGAGGGAUGAAGUAUUUCGGUAUGUAAACCUCGAAAGAAUGGGAAGAAUAAAUGACGGUACCAUUUAUAAGCUCCGGCUAACUACGUGCCAGCAGCCGCGGCAAUACGUAGGGAGCAAGCGUUGUUCGGAUUUACUGGGCGUAAAGGGCGCGUAGGCGGCGCGGUAAGUCACUUGUGAAAUCUCUGAGCUUAACUCAGAACGGCCAAGUGAUACUGCUGUGCUAGAGUGCGGAAGAGGCAACCGGAAUUCUUGGUGUAGCGGUGAAAUGCGUAGAUAUCAAGAGGAACACCUGAGGCGAAGGCGGGUUGCUGGGCCGACACUGACGCUGAUGCGCGAAAGCCAGGGGAGCAAACG
rnacentral:rRNA from 1 species